UCGCUUGUAUCGCAUGCAGACCCUUUCGUCACAGCGCACAGGCCGAACGUGUAACUACAUGGUAUAGACGUAGGACAAAAGACGUCUGAUUGGGCAGUGUGCCCAUCGCGAUACUACAGUUAGCAUUAAAAUACGCGCGAGCUACUGGGAACAACAGUCUGAUGAGGGAACUGCCGCAGCGGAACUGAGAAACUAGGAAACUUUAUGUGGUGGGCAGCGAUCGAUACGGAGACAGCCUUAUCGGUAGCACCGAUCUUACUUGUGGUUGCAGCAGUAGCGGUUGUUCGAGCUGAUUCUUCUGUUUUUUUUUUUUACUUUUUUGCUUCAACAUGAAGGACUUGACCGUGCUUGUAUCAUGCCAUUGACUAUGACGUCCGUAGAAUGCUGUGGAAGAGUCAGUCCAAGCAACGACCACAGCUUCACCAACAGUCGUUAUGGCGACGACAGUGACAGACCCAGACGUCUUUAAAUUGAAUGUUCCUCAGCCGGAUGAAUCGUCUUUUCCCAAAAUUGAAUUGUAUUUGUGUGUUUCUCGUGGUUUAUCUCAAACAAGCUGUCCAAAGCAGUAAACUAAACGUAAGAUGUGGAAUCCAAGCUAUUGUUUUCCAAAUCGCACAAUUCCUACAUGCUUAUUGAUUGGCGUGGUGGUGACCUUGCCUACCUAAUGGAUUCACAUGACAGCACUAUAAAUCGUUGUCUUGUCUCGUUAGAAAGUAACUGGGUUGCUAUCGUACUAGUCGUCGUCUUGACAAUUCGGCAGUCGUACCUCUUCAACGAAUACAUCGUACUUUCACGAUCGUGUAAGGAGCAGGGGUCUCUUUCUGACUCACUGGGAAAGUAGAGUGCUAACCUUGAAGCGUUUUCUGUUUGCUUCUAAUGUCUAUGAAAAUUUGACACUCAGAUACUCUACAAAGAGCUUUCUGGAAGUUCUUCCAUUGCGCACCCAUUUGCACCCUUUCCGCCGUUUUUAUACGAAAAACUCUAACUCCGCUAAAUUUGGCUGCAAAUGGUUCAAGACUAUACAGCAAAGAAGUCCGACGUUCUGCUUCUAGCGGCGCACCGACAAAAGGUGUUCAGGAAAAAAACACGCAGCUUCUGCGCGUUCCGAUUGUCGAGGCAAAGCAGACCAUAAAGGUGGCAAAUCUAGGGCACGGACCCUGAAUGAGUGCGAGCAUCUUUCGGCAUUAGGCAACCUACUAGCUUCGGUUUCUAAUAUAUAUUGUUAUUAGGUUACUGAAAGAGUAUUGAGCAUUAUCAAGCCAAAAUUGAA